AGCAUGGUCGUCAUGGCGAACCUGGAGCGCAUGCGCUGUUGUUAACAAUGAUGUCAUCCGGUCAAGAUGUCGGAAGUGCACGAAUCCAAUCCCACAAUAUGGGGGAGCAUUUUGUCCCUACAAAUCACUGGACUCCGAGGAAUGUCCACUUUCACCAGAUACCUUCAAGCCUAAAUGCAGGUGUCGACAAGCUCGUAUGCCAGUGGUUAAAAACAUCAGUGUGACUGAGUUAGUAGCCAUCAUAGACCAACUGAAAGAGGAAUUGACAGUCGACAAAACCCAAACAUCCACGGCUGUUAGGAAGAAAAUGUCUGCUCCAGAUUCUCGGAAGUCCUCGGCGGUCAUAGGAGCUCUACUGGGUAUUGUUAUGUUGGCUAUACCCAUCCUCUUCAUUUGUGCCAUCG